GAGGGCAGUUUCGCCCCGCGAGAACAGGUCGUGAACCGCGAACCGUAAUAUCCCAACUCAGCGGUGCGGUGCCGUGGGAUUCCCGCGUCUUCAGGCGCGGGAGGAUGUCAACACUACAGAAGAC
rnacentral:misc_RNA from 1 species